GAUGAACGCUGGCGGCGUGCCUAAUACAUGCAAGUCGAGCGAACGGACGAGAAGCUUGCUUCUCUGAUGUUAGCGGCGGACGGGUGAGUAACACGUGGAUAACCUACCUAUAAGACUGGGAUAACUUCGGGAAACCGGAGCUAAUACCGGAUAAUAUUUUGAACCGCAUGGUUCAAAAGUGAAAGACGGUCUUGCUGUCACUUAUAGAUGGAUCCGCGCUGCAUUAGCUAGUUGGUAAGGUAACGGCUUACCAAGGCAACGAUGCAUAGCCGACCUGAGAGGGUGAUCGGCCACACGGGAACUGAGACACGGUCCAGACGCCUACGGGAGGCAGCAGUAGGGAAUCUUCCGCAAUGGGCGAAAGCCUGGCGGAGCAACGCCGCGUGAGUGAUGAAGGUCUUCGGAGCGGAAAACUCUGUUAUUAGGGAAGAACAUAUGUGUAAGUAACUGUGCACAUCGUGACGGUACCUAAUCAGAAAGCCACGGCUAACUACGUG
rnacentral:rRNA from 1 species